AUAUCAUGGAUAAAGCCAGAGGAUUCUGAAUAUCUGGCAAAAACUCAAAAACAUGAGGAACGAACAUCCUUAGACAUAAAUAUAUGUGGGUUUUGAUUUUUACAAGACUUCAAUAAAUAAAUAGGGACUUUUUAACAUAUUCAGCUGCAGGUACUGAGGACCUACAUGUAUUGAUCACUUACACUUAUCUGUCUGGAGUGGUAUAUAAACUUCACAUGUCUCAUAGACAUACACCACACAACUCAUUUUAUUUCACCAGUUAAAUAUAUGUCAAGAUUGUUCAUGAUCAUAGAAUGACACUUGAGUUAAUUAUCAGGCAAUUACCUUUCAUUGUUCCACUUAUUAAUAUUUACCACACAAUUUUGGUAGUUCACUGUAAUGUUCCCAAUUUAAAGUUUGACAGACUAUGACAAUAACUGUAUGUGUAAAAAAAAUACUUAAAAUUUAUGCAUUUCUUUUUUCUAUAUGACAGAUAAUAAGCAGGGCAUGAACGAAGUAUGGAGGAUCUGUUUGAAAAUUCAAGACAUGAGAAAGAAAAUGACAGGGAGAGAUGUCCAGUUCAACGUGACCAGGACAAUUCAGCAAAGUUCCAACAGAUAUAAAAAAUCUGAAUUUGAGGCAAAUAUAUACUGUCAUGUACAUGAUGUAUAUAUAUAAGAUGGAUAAAGGACAUGAUACUUUAGCAGUGCUUCAGAGAAUCACAUUUGGUGACAGAAGUUUGUAGUAUUUUGGUUGUAAUCAAGUUAUUAAGCUGAAGCUUCAUAGUAAAACAGAUCUAGGCUACACCUUCACUAUUCAAGUCAGACUUUAAAAGGAAGCCUUUUUUAUUGAUAGCUGAAGAUAUGAAGAAACUUUUAAAAGAGUGGAGCAUUUAGAAGACGGAACAAUCAAAUAUUAUUUGUUACUAUUUCAGUAACUUUUCAAAUGUUAACUGUUUAGAAUAUUCUUAAAUAUAAAUAUAAUUGAAUUUAAUGUGGAAA